GGCGACGUGGCGGAAUUGGCAUACGCGGCGGAUUCAAAAUCCGCUUCCGGAAACGGAGUGAGGGUUCGAGUCCCUCCGUCGCUA
rnacentral:tRNA from 2 species